GCCGGCGGUAUCCUAACCGUGCGAAGGUAGCGUAAUCACUUGUUCUUUAAAUGAGGACUAGUAUGAAUGGCAUCACGAAGGUUAUGCUGUCUCCUUUUUCUAAUCAGUGAAACUAAUCUUCCCGUGAAGAAGCGGGAAUAAUGAUAUAAGACGAGAAGACCCUAUGGAGCUUUAAACAAAUAUACAAUUGCCCACUUAAUUAAAAAUUUCAGAAGACAAGCACUUACUCAGGCACUUUGAUAUAAAGUUUUAGGUUGGGGUGACCGCGGAGCAAAAAACAACCUCCGCAGUGAAAGGGGAGAUCCCCCUAAACUAAGGGCUACUACCCUAAGUAUCAACAAACUGACACCAGUUGACCCAAUACACUUGAUCAACGAACCAAGUUACCCUAGGGAUAACAGCGCAAUCCACUUCAAGAGCUCCUAUCGACAAGUGGGUUUACGACCUCGAUGUUGGAUCAGGGUAUCCUAGUGGUGCAGCCGCUACUAACGGUUCGUUUGUUCAACGAUUAAAACCCUACGUGAUCUGAGUUC
rnacentral:rRNA from 1 species